rnacentral:lncRNA from 1 species
CAUCACAGUAGAGUAAUAAGAGGAGGCAAAGAAUUGGGUCCUCUCCUUCCCUGUGUAAGUGGGCAGAAGUCUGGGGUCUCAGUCCUGUGCUGACAUUCUCCUCCCUCCACAGGCCUCCUCCACGCUCAGCCUCUGCAGCUCACUCUCCAUCUCCUUCAACAGCAGCAAGCAUUUCCACUUGUAUGGCAGCAAAGCCUCCAUGGCCCAGGUCCUCAUGAAGGUUGAUGUGGUCUACGAGAAGGAGAUGCUGCACCUGUAUGUGCUCAGCGGCAUUGGGGGGCUGGUGCUACUGUUGUUGAUUUUCCUAGCACUUUACAAGG